rnacentral:lncRNA from 1 species
AAUCCACUGUCUCUCUUCUUUCUUGGAACUUGUCUGAUCAUCAAAGCUCAUAAACCCUCUCAGAUUCUCACAUUGACUAAACCUAGUCAAGUCAAGUCAUUUGUAAUAAUGGAGACGACGCCUCCUCCUUACCACCGCCCCUCGAACACCAAAUCAGCCUCUCGUCUCGCUCGUGUCAACGAUUCGAAACAAGAAGAAGAAGCUACACAAAAUCUCUGUCUUGAUUUGGUUUGUCUGUUGUCUCCGAAGAGCAACGAUACUCCUACUCCUUGCUCAUCACCACCACCACCACCACUCCUAAGAGCCUCUUCUUCUCCUUCCCCUCUCCGCAGAUCGAAGACCCGUUUAGACGAUCGGCUCCAAAUGGAGGCCUCGGAGGAUGCUGCUGCUGCGGCGGUGGUGGUUCGGAAGCAGGGGAAGGGGAAAGGAGGCCAAAAGAGUCUUUUGGCUUCUCCAAGGAAUCCACGCAGAUCCAGGCGAAGGUCGGAGGCUGUGGCGGAGAGUGUGAUCGAAGAAGCCCCAAAGCCUAGAAAACGGAAGGCCAACGUCGCUCGCCCUAAGAAGGAACAAAAGCAAACUUCGUCUUCUUCGCAUCUUCCAAGUAACAAAACAACACUCACUCGCUCUCUUUCUUUCUUUAUUAUUAUCUGCUCGGUUCUGAUUAGAUUUUGUCUUUUGUGAAGAUGACGCUUCUUGUCAAAGCGAUCUGAACCGGGUUGGAGAGAUUAUCAGCGAUUUGGUUAUGUGGAGAGAUGUUGCGAAGUCGACACUCUGGUUCGGUUUUGGAUGUCUUUCUUUCCUUUCUUCUUGUUUUGCCAAAGGACUCAACUUUAGGUACAUACUGAUUUUACUCCUUUUCUAGACUCUUUUAUCAAAAAUCUGAAUGACUCAUCAAAGUGCAAUUAUGUUUUUGAAGCCUUUUCUCGGCGGUUUCCAAUCUCGGGCUUGUGUUACUUUGCGGCUCCUUCUUGUCAAACACUCUUUCUCAAAGGUACACACCUUCACUGUUUCUUCUUGCCUCUUUCGUUUGGCCUUCGCUUUGUAAUAAAACUUUUAUUUUAAUAUAAUUUGUACUGUUUUUUUUUUGAAGAUUUGUACUGUUUAUAGUGUGAUUCUUUGUAAUAAACUUGCCAUGCUUUAUCCGCCAACCCGGAUCGAGUCAUUUUCUUUAAAAAUUUUUUUUUUUUUGUAUAAUUUGCAAAUAAUUUUUUUAAUGAUUGAACCUACUUUACCAAAAUUUGCGGCAAAAAUUAUUAAAUAUAAUAAAAGUAUUUUAAUUAUAUAUUAAUUAUUUUUAAAAGUAAUAUAAAUUAUAAUUAAAAUAAAAUAAUAUAAAUAUUUGUAAUAUUUUAACGAAAAUAUAUUAUUUUUGAAAUAUUUUUUUUUCUUUUAAAUUUGCAGAUUGAAAGAUACCCGCAAAUCAAUUUUAGUCAUCCGCACACAUCCCGUUUAAAAUAAACUCAACUUGCACCAUAUGCGUAACUUAAAUUAUUUUAAUUCCCAGCCGUACUCUUAUCAUUCUUGGGCAUUACGCCGUCAGAAUAGACGGAGGAGCCAAGAUGCUGCUUGGCGUCAAGAUUCAAAUGAAAGGAAUCUUUUUUUUUAAGGAAAAUAAAUAUUUACUCCAACGGCUAUCUAAUCCACUGUCUCUCUUCUUUCUUGGAACUUGUCUGAUCAUCAAAGCUCAUAAACCCUCUCAGAUUCUCACAUUGACUAAACCUAGUCAAGUCAAGUCAUUUGUAAUAAUGGAGACGACGCCUCCUCCUUACCACCGCCCCUCGAACACCAAAUCAGCCUCUCGUCUCGCUCGUGUCAACGAUUCGAAACAAGAAGAAGAAGCUACACAAAAUCUCUGUC